GCUGAUGUAGUUCAGUGAUAGAGCACUUGCCUAGCACGCAUGAGGCCCUGGGUUCCAUCACCAGCACCACA
rnacentral:tRNA from 1 species